GUAUCCACGAAGGGAAACGACGGCGACAGCCUCCACCGCAGUUCUCCUCGGCCCCUCCGCGCCCCUUCCUAUCGCCACACCACAGAACGUCACCUCUCCCCACGUCAACACACUGGCGGCAGCGACGGCCUCAGAAGGCGGCAGCCGGCGAUGGUUUCCUCGUGACUGGAUGCGACCGCGUCGCCUCCCGCACCACUCCCGGUCGCAACGACGGCGCCUGCAACCAGCGGUGCCAUGAUGAGCAGGGAUGUUGAGGAUAUAUGUCAAGACGCCGCCUCUGAGCGAGACUGGAUCAAUGGCACCUGCAAUUCCAUGGUUCUGUUCUCCUGAUGAGAGUAUCAAAGUAUCAUCUGAUACUUUUUAGACUAGAGUAUCCUUGGAUACUUCAGAUUAGAUUAGAUGUAGCAUCACUUCAUGAUCUUUUUUAUAUCGUGGUAUAGUUGAUAAAAAAUUCUUUUUUUAGAAACAGGGAGAAGACUACUCCAAUCUAAUAGUAUGAAAAUGUUAUCUUUUUCAAAGAAGUAUGCAUACACACUACUUUUAAAAAAGUAUGAAUAUGUACUCCUUUGAUGAAAAAAGUAUGUAUAUAUACUCCUUACAAAAAAAGUAUGAAUAUACUACUCCUCUUACCCA